UGGCAACCAGAUUUCUGCAUGGAAUUAAAUUCUUUGAACAACUUUGGAAGCCCUUCACCCAAGGAUCAAUCCUGCCAAGUUUGGUUGAAAUUGGACUAGUGGUUUUUCACAAGAAGAUUUUUUAAGUUCACUAUAUAAUCUAUACACACACACACACACACACACACACACACACAAACAAACAAACAAACAAACAAACAAACAAACAAACAAACAAACAAACAAACACACACACACACACAGGUGAAUCGCUAUAUGCCACCGCAUCGCAGAUGCUGCGGUGGCAUAAAAACACUUUGGGGCAUAUAUAAUGCUCUGCCUAGCGGUGCUCUUGUUAACUAAAUGUACAUAGUGAAAAAUCAAUGAUCCCGGGGAGGGGCCAAUUUUGACCCCAAGGCUAUAAUAUGAACAAUCUUGGUAAAGGUUAACUACACAAAGUCUCAUGCCAAAUAUCUAACCUCUAGCUUUUGACAAUUCAGAGAAGAAGAUUUUUCAAGUUUUAACUAUAUUACUAUAUUAAGGAAAACUAUCGCCUCUGGGGCAGGGCACAAAAUAUCAAAACUCUAAGCCUUGUACCUUAAGACAAGAAGAUUUUUAAUUUUUUACUAUAUGUACAUAGUGACUGAAAAUCAAUGACCCCAGGGUCGGGGCCAAUUUUGACCCCAAGGCUAUAAUUUGAACAAUCUUGCUAGAGGUUCACUACACAAUGUUUCAUGCAAAAUAUCUAACCUCUAGCCUUUGUUAAAUUAGAGAAGAUGAUUUUUUAAAGUUUUUACUAUAAACAUGUACAUAUAAGGAAAACUAUGACCCCAGGGGUCUCACUAGAGACAAGAAGGUAUUUAAAUUUUUUACUAUAUGUACAUAUUGAAAAUCAAUGAUCCCGGGGUGGGGCAAAUUUUGACCCCUGGGCCAUAAUUUGAACAAUCUUAGUAGAAGAUGAUUUUUUUAAAGUUUUUACUAAUACAUAAAAGGAAAACCUAUGACCCCAGGGGCGGGGCUAAUUUUGACAGUAGUGGCAAAAUUUGAUCAACUUUGGUAGAGUACCUAUAGAUGAUAUCAUAUACCAAAUAUCAAAGCUCUAAGCCUUGUACCUUCAGACAAGAUGGUUUUUUAAGUUUUUACUAUAUGUACAUAUAGUGAAAAUCAAUGACCCCAGGGCGGGCCAAUUUUGACCCCAGGGCUAUAAUUUGAACAAUCUUGAUAGAGGUCUUCCAGACAAUGCCUUAUGCAAAAUAUCUAUGCUCUUAGCCUGGUGGGUCUUUACAAAAAGAAUUCUGUUAAUUUAUUCCUAUAAUUCCUUUUGGUUGCCAUGGCAACCAGAUUUCUGCAUGGAAUGAAAUUCUUUGAACAACUUUAGAAGUUCUCCACCCAAGGAUCAAUCCUGCUAAGUUUGGUUGAAAUUGGACUAGUAUUUUUUCACAAGAAGAUUUUUUAAGUUCAUUAUAUAAUCUAUAUAACAAACAUACAUACAUACAGACACAAACAGGUGAAUCGCUAUAUGCCACUGCAUCGCAGAUACUACGGUGGCAUAAAAAAGGUUCUUAAAAUAGAUAUAAUGACAUUAUGUUAUGUCAUUAAGUCAUUAAUUGAAAGUACAGUAAACUCCUGUUUUAACGAACUCAUUGGGACAUUCAAAAUCUGUUCCUUAUAUCCGGAGUUCCUUGUAAGCAUAUAGCGAAUUAGUUCCUUGUAUCAGGAGAUUAUAAAGCAAACAGAUUUACAUAUAAUGAACUGAUUGUUUCCCAUCGUCCGCUAUUUUGAAGAUCAUUUGAUUAAGAACAAGAAAUGUGUCCAUAGGACACGGGUGCCCCCACACUCCACACUCCAUCGGUUUGUCAAUCUUAUGUCUCUAGGUCAAAUUUUUUUUUUUUGGCUACAUGUUCCCAAGUUGAAAACUAAAAAUCUUUUAUUAAGUAAAGGAUACUGAAUAAAUCCACAAGUAAAACCCCAAUGUGCAUUAGUACACAUGCUGACCAACAUUCUUGUAAACUUUCAGGCCUACAGGUCAAAUACUUUGAGUUACAUGUUGAAUAUUGUAAAUUUUUACUAAGUCAAGGGCAAUAACUCUAAAAAUACUAAAAAUAUCCACACGAAAAUACCCACAUGCACAACUACACAUGCUGAUCAACAUUCCUGUAAGGUUUCAUGACUCUAGGUCAAAUAUUUUUUGAGUUACGUGCCACACAAGUAAAAAAUUGCAAAUUUUUACUAAGUCCAGGGUAAUAACUCUAAAAAUACUAAAUAUAUCCACACGAAAAUACUCAGGUGCACAACUGCACAUGCUGAGCAACAAGUUGAAAAUUGCAAAUUUUUACUAAGUCCAGGGUAAUAACUCUAAAAAUACUAAAUAUAUCCACACGAAAAUACUCAGGUGCACAACUGCACAUGCUGAGCAACAUUAUUGUAAGGUUUCAUGACUCUAGGUCAAAUACUUUUUUAGUUAUGUUUGACACAAGUUAAAAAUUUGAAAUUUUUACUAAGUCAAGGGCAAUAACAACUCUAAAAAUACUAAAUAUAUCCACACAAAAAUACCCAGGUGCACAACUACACAUGCUGAUCAACAUUCCAGUAAGGUUUCAUGACUGUAGGUCAAAUAUUUUUGGAGUUACAUGCAACACAAGUUGAAAAUUGCAAAUUUUACUAAGUGAAGGGCAAUAACUCUGAAAAUACUGAAUAAAUCCUCACGAAAAUAAGCAGGUGCACAACUGCACAAUUUGAUCAACAUUCCUGUUAAGUUUCAUGACUCUAGGUCAAAUACUUUUUGAGUUACGUGCGAUACAAAAGAGACGGACAAGGGUAAAUCUAAAUCCCCCCCCCCCCCUAAAGUGGGGUGCACAAUAAUGCAAAUUCUUCAUGACUAGUUCAUAAUCAAGAGAGCCAUGAUGGCCCUGAAUCGCUCACCAGAAACAAUUAUUUUUCAGUGUUAGAAAUAUUUUUUCAAAUGAACUUGCUGAAACUUAAUUUAAACAUGGCCCUCUAGUUUUAUAUACAGUCGAAACUGUACUAACGGUCACCUCUUAUCGGCGGUCACCUGACCUUAACGGCCAUUUUGUGACGCUCCCGACGAAAACCACUCUAUUUUAUACAUCUGUUCAACGGUCACCUGCUGUCCGCGGUCAACGGUCACCUAAAAUGCUUCCCGAAUCUUAAAGUCGGUCAUCUUAAGCGGUCAGCCAGGUGAAACGGCCAGGCAAUCUUCUGCGGUCAGCCAGGUGAAACGGCCAGGCAAUCUUCUGCCAUUUAUUUUUAAAGAUGACACGUGUCACGGAUUAACAAAAGCUACUUGUCAGGUGCUAGAUAUUAACACAAACCAUAACAUUUCAAGAAGUUUGCAUAAUUGCUCAUCCGUGUCGUAAUUACAAACGUUUGGAACGUCUAAACGCACUUGCAAUUCGUUCUUUUGAGUUACUUUACGCUAGUUUUUUUAUUGUUCAAUUUACCGAUUUACCGAUUUUAAAAAAAAAAAAAGAAAGAAGAAAAAAAUGCAUUGUCGAUGGCAGAAAGAAAUUUCAGUUUAUCCCGAUUCAGAUACAUUUUGUGCGUACUUGGUACUUACCAAAGAAAUGAAAAUGGAUUACAUCGCCGAUUGUCUAAAUUCCUCAGUAAUAAAUUCAUAAAAACACUUGCUCCAUGUGUGAAAAUAAAAUUGCAUAAAUAUAAUGAGGUCACUGUUAAAUCACACCCAUUAAGUUUACACAUUAGAUGACCUCUAAGAGGUAACUAGCGGUCUCUUCAAAGGAAUCUUUGAUGUUUACAAACCUGUAGCCCUGCUGUUUCAAUCUGAAACAUCAAAGGAAGUGCCGACACUUAGAUGACGUGUACACAAUAUUCUAUUGAUCAAAAGUUAGAAAAAUAAACUGUCAUACUUUUUUUGUGAAAAAAAUAUUACGCAUUUUAAAUUAUUGUGCAAGAAGAUAUUUUUAUGGGAUAAAUAGUUUCAAUUAUUGACAUAAUAAAUCGUGAGUGCAUUUGUUUAUCUGUGUUACAUUCAUGUAAAGCUUUAUAUGUUGGAAGGAUUGUGUACAUGUUAAACCAUUAAAAGCAUACGUUUGUAAAUGGUUAAAAACUGAUGAUGAUGAUGAAUCAGACUGGUUUAUUUAUACUUAAAUCAGAUUUAAUUUAUUUGGAUAAAAACUGGAUCCUCCAUUCAGCAGCCACCUGUCUUAAGCAGCCAAAAUGACUGCAUCCCUUGGUUGGCUGCUUAAGACAGUUUCGACUGUAGUUUUCUGACACUUAUUUAUUUUUCUUCAUAAUAAAAAAUGGAGCCCAAGUUCAUUGUUACUGUACCUCUGGCAAUUAAACCAUAUCAACUCACGCUGUCUAAUUUCCUUUUCAUACUGGAGCAAAUUAAAAUGGGACUGUCACAAGGAUGUUACAGACAAAAUUUAAAGUAAAUUUGCCCAGCAGUUUCAGAGAAGAAGAUGAAUGUUGAUGCAUGACGACGGAGUAUCCCCCUUUGAUACUAAUAGCUCACCCUGAACCUUCGGCUCUGGUGAGUUAGUUACAAAUACAAAAUAAUGCCAUAUAUACAUAUAAAUAUAUAUAUGGCUAAAAACAAAAAACACAGUUCAUGAGUUAACUUAUUUACAAGGGCCAUCAUUAUGAUGACAUGUGUCACCUCAUGAUAGCCAUAACUUGGCAAAGAAUCAUUCAACAUAAAAACCUGUGACAUAUGCACAAGAUUUUAAAACUUCACAUAUGCAUAUGCAUUUAGGGUCAUAAUUGUAGGUCACUGACCAAGAUCCAUAAUUCUAUCUUGCAUUUAGGCUGAUUUUUCUCCCCUUUUUCAACUUAGAAAUUCAUGGUAAAGUUUUGCUUCCAUAACUACUGAAGGGUUUGUGCCUUUUUUGGGACAAUUUUAUGCAUUCAAUAGGGGUCAUCUACUAAUCAUGACUAAGCUCCAUGCCAAAUAUGAAGACUGUGGGUCAAAGGAAUCUUAAGUUAUUGGGCGGACAAGCUUUUUGAAGUCAAGGCCCCUGUGACCUUGACCUUUGACCUGGUGACCUCAAAGUCAAUAGGGGUCAUCUACUUAUCAUGACUAGCCUCCAUGCCAAAUAUGAAGACUGUGGGUCAAAGGAAUCUUAAGUUAUUGGUCGGACAAGCCUUUUGAAGUCAAGGCCCCGGUGACCUUGACCUUUGACCUGGUGACCUCAAAGUCAAUAGGGGUCAUCUACUAAUCAUGACUAACCUCAAUACCAAAUAUGAAGGUCAAAGGAAUCUUAAGUUAUUUGGCGGACAAGCUUUUUGAAGUCAAGGCCCCUGUGACCUUGACCUUUGACCUCAAAAUCAAUAGAGGUCAUCUACUAAUCAUGACUAACCUCCAUGCCAAAUAUGAAGACUAAGGGUCAAAGGAAUCUUAAGUUAUUGGGCGGACAAGAAAAAACCGACGGACGGCCAGACGGCCGGACAGCCGGACGGACGGACAAGCUGAUUCCAGUAUACCCCCCUUACAACUUUGUUGUGCGGGGGUAUAAUAA